GACGAACGCUGGCGGCGUGCCUAAUACAUGCAAGUCGAACGCAGUGGGGACGGGUGAGUAACACGUGGGUAACCUCACAUAAGGGGGGAGAACACAUGGAAACAGGUGCUAAACCGAUACUGAUGGAUGAACCCGAGGUGCAUUAGCUAGUUGGUGGGGUAACGGCUCACCAAGGCCACGAUGCAUAGCCGACCUGAGAGCGUUAUCGGCCAUCCUGGGACUGAGACACGGCCCAGACUCCUACGGUAGGCAUCAGUAGGGAAUCUUCGGCAAUGGACGAAAGUCUGACCGAGCAACGCCGCGUGAGUGAAGAAGGUUUUCGGAUCGUAAAACUCUGUUGUUAGAGAAGCGGUAUCUAACCAGAAAGCCACGGCUAACUCCGUGCCAGCAGCCGCGGUAAUUC
rnacentral:rRNA from 1 species